UACGUAGGGAGCAAGCGUUGUCCGGAAUCAUUGGGCGUAAAGCGCGCGUAGGUGGCCCGGUAAGUCCGCUCUGAAAGUCACAGGCUCAACCUGUGAAAGCGGGUGGAUACUGCCGGGCUAGAGUCCGGAAGAGGCGAGUGGAAUUCCUGGUGUAGCGGUGGAAUGCGCAGAUAUCAGGAGGAACACCAACGGCGAAGGCAGCUCGCUGGGCCGAUACUGACGCUGAGGAGCGAAAGCGUGGGGAGCGAACAGG
rnacentral:rRNA from 1 species